rnacentral:rRNA from 1 species
CACGUGAGGGGGCAAGCGUUGUCCGGAUUUAUUUGGGCGUAAAGGGGCUCGAUAGGCGGUUUGUCGCGUUCGGGAGUGAAAACUCAGGGCCUUGAACCCUGAGCCUGCUUCCGAUACGGGCAGACUAGAGGGUAUGCAGGGGAGAAUGGAAUUCCUGGUGUAGCGGUGAAAUGCGCAGAUAUCAGGAGGAACACCGGUGGCGAAGGCGGGUCUCUGGGCCGUAACUGACGCUGAGGAGCGAAAGCGUGGGGGAGCGAACAGG